AGACUUCCCUGGCAGGGGAGACACCGUGAUCACAAAGGUGGCUUUCCCAGGGCGAGGCUCACCCGUUGCACUCCAGCUGUGCCUGACCCCUGCGAUUUCCCCAAAUGUGGGAAAGGCGACUGCACAAUAUGUGGUAGUGGGGGUCUGCGUUCACACUCCCUCCCA